CUACGUGCCAGCAGCCGCGGUAAUACGUAUGUCGCAAGCGUUAUCCGGAAUUAUUGGGCAUAAAGGGCAUCUAGGCGGCCAGAUAAGUCUGGGGUGAAAACUUGCAGCUCAACCGCAAGCCUGCCCUGGAAACUAUGUGGCUAGAGUACUGGAGAGGUGGACGGAACUGCACGAGUAGAGGUGAAAUUCGUAGAUAUGUGCAGGAAUGCCGAUGAUGAAGAUAGUUCACUGGACGGUAACUGACGCUGAAGUGCGAAAGCUAGGGGAGCAAACAGGAUUAGAUACCCUGGUAGUCCUAGCUGUAAACGAUGAUUACUGGGUGUGGGCAUGAAGAGUGUCCGUGCCGAAGCUAAUGCGAUAAGUAAUCCGCCUGGGGAGUACGGCCGCAAGGCUGAAACUCAAAGGAAUUGACGGGGACCCGCACAAGCGGUGGAGCAUGUGGUUUAAUUCGACGCAACGCGAGGAACCUUACCAGAUCUUGACAUCC
rnacentral:rRNA from 1 species